rnacentral:lncRNA from 1 species
AACAAUUCUACAGGAUGAUAACAAUAAAUGACGUAGAAUCUUUCUCUUUUUUUUUUUCUUUACGUAGAAUUAAUCUUAUAUUAUUGUGAUGUCUUAAAAGGGUUUUAAUUAAUUUGCAACUGAAUGAUGCAUGACCAAAACAAAACUUAAAAAGCAUUUUAACAUAUACAGAGUUUCUACAAAUCACUGGAGUAGUUGAUUUUAGAUUCUUAGAAAUUAUUUCCUUUUGUUAAUGUUUGGAAUUUGGAUCGUUGUGCAUUUCUUUCUUGCUUUCUUGAAUUUCACUAAUUUUCUCGUAUGCGUACCCACCAAACAAGAAAAGUUAGUCUAAAGAUUUUAUUUAAACUUUA